rnacentral:rRNA from 1 species
GAUGAACGCUGGCGGCGUGCCUAAUACAUGCAAGUCGAGCGAACAGACGAGGAGCUUGCUCCUCUGACGUUAGCGGCGGACGGGUGAGUAACACGUGGAUAACCUACCUAUAAGACUGGGAUAACUUCGGGAAACCGGAGCUAAUACCGGAUAAUAUAUUGAACCGCAUGGUUCAAUAGUGAAAGACGGUUUUGCUGUCACUUAUAGAUGGAUCCGCGCCGCAUUAGCUAGUUGGUAAGGUAACGGCUUACCAAGGCAACGAUGCGUAGCCGACCUGGGAGGGGGACGGGCCCACUGGGAAUGGAAAAACGGCCAGACUCCCCAGGGGGGGACGAAGGAGGGAAUUUUCCGAAAGGGGGGAAAGCUUGAGGGGGCAACCCCGGGGGAGGGAUGAAGGCUUUGGGAUCUUAAAACCUUUUUUUUAGGGAAAAAAAAAUGUGUAAGUAACUAUGCCCGUUUGGACGGGACCUAACCAAAAAGCCCCGGCUAACUACGU